rnacentral:tRNA from 2 species
CCCUGGUUAUCUCAGUUGGUAGAGCGCUCCACUUGUAAUGGAGAGGUCCCGGGUUCGAUACCCGGACCAGGCG